rnacentral:rRNA from 1 species
GAUGAACGUUGGCUACAGGCUUAACACAUGCAAGUCGAGGGGAAACGACGGGGAAGCUUGCUUCCCCGGGCGUCGACCGGCGCACGGGUGAGUAACGCGUAUCCAACCUGCCUCUGACUGAGGGAUAACCCGUCGAAAGUCGGCCUAAUACCUCAUGGUAUCGUCUGCGGGCAUCCAACGACGAUUAAAGAUUUCAUCGGUCAGGGAUGGGGAUGCGUCUGAUUAGCUUGUUGGCGGGGUAACGGCCCACCAAGGCUACGAUCAGUAGGGGUUCUGAGAGGAAGGUCCCCCACAUUGGAACUGAGACACGGUCCAAACUCCUACGGGAGGCAGCAGUGAGGAAUAUUGGUCAAUGGGCGAGAGCCUGAACCAGCCAAGUAGCGUGCAGGAAGACGGCCCUAUGGGUUGUAAACUGCUUUUAUGCGGGGAUAAAGUGAGGGACGUGUCCCUCAUUGCAGGUACCGCAUGAAUAAGGACCGGCUAAGUCCGUG